UCUAUAGAUUGAAAGGAAGAAGACGGAAGAGUGAGACCACCUUGGGACCACCUUCUUGUAGCCUUCUGUUUUUGGAACCCGAAGGGAACCCCUGGUCCUAAUCUUCCCCCUUUUUUUUUUUUUUUUGGAAUGUAAAAUGGAAUCUGGAAGAACAGCAGCACUUGUAAAACGUUGAUUUGAUUUUCUGUUGUUGAAUCUUUUUCACAGGUAUUUUGGAAUAGAUGGGCUAUUAUCCAAUUGAGCUAAAACUAAUUGAUCUGUGAUAAAGAAAUUUUGAUCUGAUUCUCUACAAAAUUUCAAGCUUUCAGACCUGCUAUAGGUUGGGUUGUUCAUGGAUAACCUAAGGAAGGUGAUGAAACUUGAUCGCAACAGACGUCGUCAUCUUGGUCCUGUCAUCUUCACCUGUCUUUUCAAACUUUUACUUUCAGAAUCUCCCAUGUAUCAUCAUCCUCUAGGACCAAAACCUAACGGAAGGAUGGACCUUGAGAGAGAAAAAAUGGGAUCUGACAGCAACGCAGCUUGGUUUUGAGUAGAUAAAUAAAGGGAACCCUCUCGUCAAAUUGCUUCAAAACCUAUGAUGGAAAGAUGAACAUAAAGAAGGAGAGAAAGAGAAUGGAAUCUGGGAAGAAGAAGAACAGCAUCAGCAUCAGCAGAAGCAGAAGCAGCAAAUUGGUAUUGAUUUAAUUCAAUUCAAUCUUCCAAGUUACGGUUAACGAAGUGGAAGCACUGACUCUACGAGCAGCUGAGUAACACCAUCGUCCCGUUGACGAUGGCUUAAUCCACAAGGUUAAGCAGAUGGUAAUUGCUAUUUUGUUGGAGUCUGAAGUGCAUCUGUCAGAUGAAAUUGUAGAAGCAAUCAUUGAUAAGGCAUGGGUUUGAAUAAGAUUACUUUGUUUAUCAAAAAGGAAAAUCAUUUUUUUGCUUCAUCGUUUGGAGGAUCAUUCCAUACAUCUUCAUUCUUUGAGAAGACUUUUGCAGAUGCUGAUGCUGACAUGGAUGGUAAAAUCUACAAAGAAGAAUGGAAGGCUUUUGUUAUUCGAAAUCCCAACCUUUUGAAGAACAUGACUCUUCCAUAUUUGAGUUGAUAUGGUUUUUCAGAUUUAGUGUAUAGAAGUGAUAGAGAUUUUGUCAAGUAACGCUUACACUAGCUGGUCGGAAAUCUGACCGCAUUGCUUCGUUGCGACAGUGAAUUGCUUCGUAUUUUCUCCUGGAUUAGAGAUGCAUAUUUUCUCAAGAUUUAUUAUUAUUAUUUUUUUAAUGUUUUUUUCCCCGUUGAUGGCCUCUCCGAAAGUGGAUGAAUUAUAAAAUUUGAAUGCCCCACAAUCGUAUGGAUUGGGUCAUACCGGGGUUAAAUGAGAACCAUUCAAGUGAA